UACGUAGGGGGCAAGCGUUGUCCGGAAUCAUUGGGCGUAAAGAGCGUGUAGGCGGCCCGGUAAGUCCGCUGUGAAAGUCCAGGGCUCAACCCUGGGAUGCCGGUGGAUACUGUCGGGCUCGAGUCCGGAAGAGGCGAGUGGAAUUCCUGGUGUAGCGGUGAAAUGCGCAGAUAUCAGGAGGAACACCGGUGGCGAAGGCGGUUCUCUGGGCAUUACCUGACGCUGAGGAGCGAAAGCGUGGGGAGCGAACAGG
rnacentral:rRNA from 1 species